rnacentral:rRNA from 1 species
UCGUAGGCGGUUUGUCGCGUCUGCUGUGAAAUCCCGAGGCUCAACCUCGGGUCUGCAGUGGGUACGGGCAGACUAGAGUGCGGUAGGGGAGAUUGGAAUUCCUGGUGUAGCGGUGGAAUGCGCAGAUAUCAGGAGGAACACCGAUGGCGAAGGCAGAUCUCUGGGCCGUAACUGACGCUGAGGAGCGAAAGGGUGGGGAGCAAACAGGCUUAGAUACCCUGGUAGUCCACCCCGUAAACGUUGGGAACUAGUUGUGGGGUCCAUUCCACGGAUUCCGUGACGCAGCUAACGCAUUAAGUUCCCCGCCUGGGGAGUACGGCCGCAAGGCUAAAACUCAAAGGAAUUGACGGGGACCCGCACAAGCGGCGGAGCAUGCGGAUUAAUUCGAUGCAACGCGAAGAACCUUACCAAGGCUUGACAUACACGAGAACGCUGCAGAAAUGUAGAACUCUUUGGACACUCGUGAACAGGUGGUGCAUGGUUGUCGUCAGCUCGUGUCGUGAGAUGUUGGGUUAAGUCCCGCAACGAGCGCAACCCUCGUUCUAUGUUGCCAGCACGUAAUGGUGGGAACUCAUGGGAUACUGCCGGGGUCAACUCGGAGGAAGGUGGGGAUGACGUCAAAUCAUCAUGCCCCUUAUGUCUUGGGCUUCACGCAUGCUACAAUGGCCGGUACAAAGGGCUGCAAUACCGUGAGGUGGAGCGAAUCCCAAAAAGCCGGUCCCAGUUCGGAUUGAGGUCUGCAACUCGACCUCAUGAAGUCGGAGUCGCUAGUAAUCGCAGAUCAGCCACGCUGCGGUGAAUACGUUCC